CGGGGUCACUCUAACCUGUGCCCCCCUCUUCCCUGGGGACUGUGCUGGUGACAGGCAGGUGACCGCAGGCAGCAGGAGCUGGCUAAGUCUUCCUGCUCCCACAAGUCACGUCCUUCCAUGGCGCCCCGUGUGUCCCAUCGCUGCAUGAAGCUUGGUAUCCAGAUGCCGCAUCUGAGGGUGACUCCCCCACCCCACCCCCGCCGAGUCUCCCAGCUCUUGCCAGGGGCACCAGGGAGCCCCUGCGGCACGUGCAGGCCUCGGAGCUGCACCUGCAGAUGCCCCCGAAGGUGAGCCUGAGUGCCGGCCGCUCGUGGGGACACCUGGCGCCACUGCGGGAGGCCCCCGGGCCCUCGGCCCAGCCCACGUCCC